UCCGGGUUUCGCCCGGCAUGACCCGAUGGUAACUAAGGGCAAGGGUUGCGCUCGUUGCGGGACUUACCCCAACAUCUCACGGCACGAGCUGACGACAGCCAUGCACCACCUGCGCAGAAGUCCCUUGCGGGAGGUGCUCACUUUCGUGAGCAUUUCCUCUGCAUGUCAAACCCAGGUAAGGUUCUUCGCGUUGCCUCGAAUUAAACCACGCGCUCCGCUGCUUGUGCGGGCCCCCGCCUAUUCCUUUGAGUUUUAACCUUGCGGCCGUAGUCCCCAGGCGGUGAACUUAAUGCGUUAGCUGCGGCACUGAUCGGGUCAAUCCGACCAACACCUAGUUCACAACGUUUAGGGCGUGGACUAC
rnacentral:misc_RNA from 1 species